UACGGAGGAUGCGAGCGUUAUCCGGAUUUAUUGGGUUUAAAGGGUGCGUAGGCGGACUAUCAAGUCAGCGGUAAAAUUGAGAGGCUCAACCUCUUCCCGCCGUUGAAACUGGUGGUCUUGAGUGGAUGAGAAGUACGCGGAAUGCGUGGUGUAGCGGUGAAAUGCAUAGAUAUCACGCAGAACUCCGAUUGCGAAGGCAGCGUACCGGCAUCCAACUGACGCUGUGGCACGAAAGCGUGGGGAUCAAACAGG
rnacentral:rRNA from 1 species